UUUUUACCCUAAAAUAAAAUAUCAUUGGAACAACGUCCAAUUCUAUUAUAGAGUUACUUUGUUUUAGAAGAAAAAAUAGUGUAAACCAUCUAAUCUAUUAAAACAGAAAUAGAAAAAGAAAAUAACUUUUAGUUUUUCACAAAAAUUACAUACAUAUGCCAGCCACUAGAAUUAAAUUAAACCACAGCGUUUUAACUAAACCUGUUUAAACCUGCCAUGUUGCCCAGAUGAUAACGGCGUUCGUCGAGCUCUCUUUAGCUAUAACGCCGGCCUAUGUAAUCUCUCUCUCUCUCUCUCUCUCUCUCUCUCUCGCCGGCAAAGUUGAUUUUUUUUUGUAUGUGAUUUGGGGUUUUGAAGAUAAUCCCUCUGGUGAUCCAAAGCAGCUGGGUCGAAUCUCUCAGCUUACUUCGAAGGAGACUCUUCGUGAGGUAAGAGUAUGUGUUGUAUACGUGGAGUUAGACCAUCUCCAUCGGCCACUUCUUAAGAAGGGUUCUAAAGAAAAGUGAAAAAAAAUAAAUGAAAAGGGCUUAAAAACAAAAGAACCGAUGCUUAACUUGGGCCUUUAAGGAUUGGUAAGGACCCUUGCAUGUCACCUUUUUAGUGGACCUCCUCUUUAUGUCUCUCUCUCCUUCUCGUUAGGGUCUUGAUCUGAAAUCACAUAGUUUCUCUAACUCCACUGAAGUCGAUCACUUCAUCUUCUCUCUCGAUCGAGUCUGAUCUGGAGAGAUUGUUUUGAUAAGAUUGAAGAUUGAAUUGAAAGUUUUGAAAUCGAUCAACUCUGUUUCUGAGUCUUAUGUGGUAUCGCAGCAACUGUUUUCUCCAUCAUCAUGUACGCUUCUCCACUCUCAAUCAUGAGAUUGGUGACGAAGACAAAGAGUGUAGAGUAUAUGUCAUUCUUUUUAUCACUCUUUGUGUUUCUCUGUGGAACUUCUUGGUUCAUCUAUGGUCUUAUCGGUCGUGACCCUUUUGUUGCAAUACCAAAUGGGUUUGAAUGUGCGUUAGGAGAAGAAAUCAACAGAUGCUGAAAAGGAUGAGAAGAAGACGGUGGAGAUGAAAGAUGAGGAGAAGAAACAAAAUGUGGUUUAUGGAAAGCAACAAGAGCAGCAAGUUUAGAUCCUUUUGAAUGAUUUGUUCUGUGGUUGUUCUAACGUGGACACACGCUUGCUGAAAUUUCUGCAGAGAAAGCUGGUAUCUUCAAGAGUGGAGUUCAUGCUUUUACAGUUAACCUGAUGAAGCAAUGAGUGUACUUGAUGAGAAAGCUUCAGAAUUGGAGGUAAAUGACUAUAUACAAAACAACCUAAUCACUAGACAGAUGUUGAGUUGAAUAGCUUUAUGAUUUGUAGUUGUAUCUUUUGAUUUGUAGCUUUAUGUCAUUUUUAUUUAAAAUUUUAUGUUAUCAAAUCUAUAUCAUUCAACUUAAAAAAAAAAAAAAAAUAUUUAAGAACCUCCCAUUGGAAGAAGAAAAAAUUAUUUUCACUAACUAAGGUUCUUAACUUCUCAUAUCACCUUUAAAACUACUAAUUUAAUCAUUAGAACCUAUCAGUAGUUCUAAUGGAUGGAGUUGCUCUUACACUCUUUCGUUGCACGAGUGAUCAUAAAGGUUUCUUCUUUACAUGCUACGAGUAAAUACGGCAAAGUUAAGAGCUUGUGGUUGGUCAGACACAUUGGUAAAGGCUUUGCAAUUGCUCUGUAAAUGUGUCGAUUAUACAUUAUGUAUUAAACUAAUGAGUGGCGGCGGAAACAGAGUAUUCUACGCGAGAUCGUAUCAUCCCAUUCAAGCCGGAAGUAUUGACGGAACCAACGUUGCGGCACAUGAUAACGGUGUCCGUCGAGCUCUCCUCUGUUACAGCACCGGUCUAUAUGAUCCCUUUGACGAUUCGAAAGCCGCCGGAGAUCCUUAUUGUACCUCUCAUCUUACUACAGAGGAUACUCUUCGUGAGUGACGGGUGCCUCACGAGUAUAUGCUUUUGUGGAGUAUGAGACUGAGAAGGAGAUGCAUCGUGCUUACAAGGUACUUCGGUGAUGCUAACUUUUUUUUUGUUCUUUAGAGCUGUUUGAAAUGUAUAUUUUCUGUUUCAACAGUGGAGUUUAUUUUCCGGAAAGGAAUGUUCUUUUGUGGUGGUUUUUUACAGGAUGCUCAUCAUUCAUUUAUUGAUGGUCGAGAGAUUAUUGUUGAUUAUAAUAGGCAGCAAUUGAUACAUGGAUGGAGGAUACCAAGAAGAUGAGAAGCCGAUACCUCAUGAAGAUUUGAAAAAGCCUGGGAUCCAACUUCCACUAGAGGGAAGAUACAUGUCACGUACUCAGAUUCGUAAGGGUCUCAGUAGAGUUGGCGUUCAUCUGAGCGGUCCGACAAAGAUUCCUCUUGUGAAUCGACUCGAGUAAUUUCAGGAUUAUAAUCCGAAGAUGAUUGGUGUUCCAAUAAUGGCGUCGGUGGGGAGCGAAGGAGGAUUCCGGUGAGGCUUGAUAUUUCCGGCGACGUUUGACCCUUUCAUCCGACGAAGAACCGGUGGUAUUGUGUCAGAAACCACAAACUCGUAAGCACUGAAGUUGGACGCGUGUCGUUACGCAAGAAAGCGGUGGGACGCGUGGUGUGGUUUAAUCGAUCAACAUAAUUGGGUCGGUUAUUGGGCUUAGUUUAAAUUGUAAACGGGUUGGGUUGGGUAAUUUAAUAUCUAAGCUCACCUUGUUAUGGCCCGCGGGGCUUUUCCAUUAAUGAAAAGAGUUAACAAAAAACAAAGAAAGAAGAAGAAUGUCGAGGCUGAUCGCUGUUUUUGUCAUAUUCAGUUUCUUGUCCGCUACACAAUUUUCUAAUGUAAAGAUUUUCUUUUU